rnacentral:rRNA from 1 species
GAUGAACGCUGACAGAAUGCUUAACACAUGCAAGUCUACUUGAUUCUACUUCGGUAGUUGAUGGUGGCGGACGGGUGAGUAACGCGUAAAGAAUCUGCCCUUUAGUUUGGGAUAACCUUUGGAAACGAAGGCUAAUACCGGAUAUUAUGGAGACGUCGCAUGACGACUCCAUGAAAGCUAUAUGCGCUAGAGGAGGACUUUGCGUCCCAUUAGUUAGUUGGUGAGGUAAUGGCUCACCAAGACCGCGAUGGGUAGCCGGCCUGAGAGGGUGAUCGGCCACAAGGGAACUGAGACGCGGUCCUUCCUCCUACGGGAGGCAGCAGUGGGGAAUAUUGGACAAUGGGCCACAAGCCUGAUCCAGCAAUUCUGUGUGCACGAUGAAGGUCUUCGGAUUGUAAAGUGCUUUCAGUAGGGAAGAAAAAAAUGACGGUACCUACAGAAGAAGCGACGGCUAAAUAUGUGCCAGCAGCCGCCGUAA